rnacentral:lncRNA from 1 species
GCCUUUUCGUGUCUUAAGCCGAGGCGACUGUUUCCUCCCUCCGAUCCCCUCUCGUUCUCUCCUCUCUUACUACCCUUCCUCUUCCACGAGACGACGAGGAAGACGGACGAACAAAUCGUGGCUGAGGCAAACAAAAGAAUCGAUAGAAGAGAUCGAUCGAUCCAUCGGGAGGAUUAGGCUGAAGCCCGCAGUCGAGCGGCACUAACUCCUAAAACAGCGAUGAAAAACUUCCCCUCCUCGUCGUCGCCGUCGUUCGAUUGAUUGGCUCUCUCUCCCGUUUAAGUGGGAUCAUCCUGGUGGGAGAGAUGGCAACACGAUCGAUUCUAGCGGAACAGCUGAAGGAGUAUCAGAUCCCGUUCAGGAGCGAUUGGCCCACCGCCUCUUCUAGUUCCUCAUGCAGGUACUCCCGCAGCGCUAGGGUUACUAAUCUAUGUUCAAGCUUAUUCUCGUUUUCUUCAAUAUAUUAAUCUGCUUGGUUAUUCUGCUUCCUCCUCUUAGACACAUUUGUAAUUAUUCGCAUAAUGUCGAUCUGAUUCUGUAUGACCAAUGUUGUUCCGCGAACUGUAUCGUACGUAUAGCUAUGCUCUAGAGAAAAAUACUUGAUUUAGUUCUAGUUUUCACAUUUUUAAUAUGGUGUGGGAUGUUUAACCUCAUGUGGCUUGUGCUUGGAUUAUUUUAUUGAUCUUGUACACGAAUCUUUAGGAUUGCUUCAAUGGAUUUUGUUUUAGUGCCUUCGCUUUCUUCCAUAUGGCAUGUAGUGACCUGAUGUCUCUCAUCCUUUAUCAUCAUUUGAGAUCUCCUUGUUUUCCACCUGCAGUCAGAUGCCAUCUACAUUUUUUUUCUUCUUUCUUUUUUAGCUUAAGUGUGGAAUUGUUGUUUAUGGGAUUCAUAUGGUAGAUUGAACAACACUACCAACUGAAUCAAAGCUCAACAGGAGAUUUAAACUCGUGUUUGCUUGUAAUUUCAUACUCAUUGAGCUCGAAUAGAAUCUUGAUCAGGAUCUAGUUAAUAUCUUUUUAUUAGUCAUAAAUUUUAGUGUGUGGACUCUUCUUAUUAACAAAAACUACUUUCUCUGUUUCCAUGCAUUGCAUACUUGCAUGUUUCUGAUGCUUUGUUAAGUUCUUCUAGAAGCUAGAACUAGUGCUUUCCUGUGGUUUUGAGCUACAUGUGGUGCAACGAGAAUCACAACAAGAACAUUUGAUAUCAUGAUGUGAAGACAAAGCAAACUGAACAUAAAAAGCUGCAACACAUACACAAAAGUAUAAUAAUUUGGGAAGAUGAUAAUCUUAUGAAGAAUGAUAAUCUAUAGCCAAGUUCACAAGGCACAAAUAAAUGACACAUGUCUAACUAUUUCUAGAUGAAUUAGAGGCAUCCGAGUGACAUAUAGCUUAAUGUUUUCUUCUUGAUUAUCUCAUGGGCCCUUGGAGAUGCACUAAAACUUGACAUGUGACUUUAUAUUUUUGUUUUGGUUUUCUCAUGGGCUCCAGAAGAUGAACUAAAACUUGCCAGUCAAUUUGAACUAAUAUGGGCUAAAUUUGGUAUGCCAAGCCAAUACCAAUGCAUAGCAUUUAUAUGGUCUAAAUUUAGUAUUCCAAGCCAUAAAACAAAAUUGAAAGGCAUUUAUCAUCCAUCACAGGUAUAUUAUGUAAUAUUGGUCUAUCUCACUUGUUACCUUGACAAUUUCACAUUUCAGCAUAUCUCUACUUCCCUGGUAUCAACCUAUCUCACCUGAGUGGAUAAAGUAAAUUUGUUUCAUGCGUGCAACCUGAUCAUGAUCAACAUGCAAGUCAUGUGGAUAAAGACUUAAGGGACAAUACUUUAAAUGAUGAUUCUUAGCCUAGUCAAACUACAUUAGGAGGUUUUCAUUCCAAGCACUGAAGUAUUCUUUAUGGACAUUCAUUUCUUUACCUGCGUUGACAAAUGUCCCUCCUAGUAUCUUUCUUUAAACUCAUAUAAUCAAUUUAAUUUGGCCACUAGAGUCUAUUAAAGUAGUUUAUUUUAAGCAUGUUGAAACUGACAGUGAUCAUGAACCACCCUUUUCCUCAUUUGGAGGCGAUAUAUUGUCAAUUGUCAUCUUGAAGGAAGCUUUUUGUUUGUUUAUAUUAUGAGGUUGCAUUUCCAUUCUGUUCUUGCUCAGGGAUAGUUGUAUUAUAGAUUUAAUCAUAGUUACACACUGUCUUCACUCAAUGAGUGCAUCCAGGAUAAAGUAUCAUUGAACUGUAAGUGCUUUGGAAAUCCUGAAAUCUGAUGUCAAAGUAGUGUACAUACUGAACUUUCUUCUUUUUCUUAGGAAUAUUUGACUUGUUAUUUUUUCCUAUUAUCAUAUAUAUGCAGGGUGGAUGUGAUAUUUGCAGUAUGGGAGAUUUUGAUGUUUGCUUGCCUUGUUUUCGCUGGCGUUUCUUUGUAUUUUAGGUACAUGAGGCUUGCUUUUCUCCUCAUAUGUGUUACAAUAAUUAUUCUUGUUUGCAUGAGAAUAACUAACAAAGUGAGGCAAAAUAGAAAAAGUACGCGAAGAAUGCUCCUUCCUUUGUCAAUGUAACUUGUAGGCAGUUAGCCUGUGGUUGGUCAUCUUAAACUAUGCAGAAGGAUAUUUUUCAACUACUUCUGCCAAUGUUUUGUGCUGAUAUGUAUCCAUUUUCAUGGAGAUAUUUUUUCUUUUGAUGGUUCAGUUCAAAGAUUUGACUUGAAUCAUUGAACUCAAUGGAAUGUAUAAAAAUGUUGUGCUGAGCUUUGGGUGUGUAUAACUUUUGAGUGUAAUUGCUAAGAUCUAUUUGAGUUUCAAAUUACAAUAUAUGAUAGCUUUUCCAUGACUUGCUCAAACUAAAGUGCUUAGAAGUUUUCAGACAUUUAACUUGGAUGACUGUGAAAUGUAAUCAAUGUAUGAUACUGGGUCAGAUCUUUGUUAUCUCAUGAAAAUUUGCAAAGAUAUCAUCAUCUAUUUAUUUAACAAGAGUAACAAACUUAACUUUCGGAUGAUUAAACUUGACUUUUGGAGUAAUAUACAUUGAAAUGACCUUUAUUAGCGAUUAAUGAGCUUCUUGGAUUGACUAUUGAUGAAACUUGCCUCCUCUUCCAUGUGAUUUUCUUCCUUCCCAAGGCAGCCAUCUUCCACCAUUUCCUUGCCAAUGCCAUCUCCAUGAGUCUUGCUCUGCUAAUCAUGGCAUGCAG